rnacentral:lncRNA from 1 species
UUUGAGGUGUGAUUAUUUGAGUUUUUAAAAUAUUAUCACUGUGCAUCAGAAUGGGUUAGGGAAGGCUUAAAUCCUGGAUGCUGGCUCAGCACCUAUUAGAGCAAUUAAAAUGAGAAAUGAUGCAGACUAAACUAGAAUUUCAGGUAAAAAUGGGAAAAAUAGGCGUUAAAAAAUGGUAUAAACGUUAAAAAACUACACUUGACUGAGUUAGAAUAUGGAGGAAAAGGAAGUAUGGAGAUCAAAAGAAAACAUCAGGAUUUGGGAGCUUGGACACAGGUUUUGCUUUUCCAUCUUUUAUGGAGUAUGAUUUACUUUCAAAUCGCCUCUGAAGAAACCUAUUAGUCAGUCAACUGCAGAAAAACUUCUCCAUAAUAUCUACCUGGAAUAUAUCUUGCUUCCAUUCACCUUCUUCCUUUGUCAAUGACUCUCAGGAGGAAUACAGUCUUUGUCAGUCAUAAAGGAAGGAAGAGUCAAUGACAUAGGAUCCCAAACACGGCUAAAAUGUCUCAUAUCUAAUGCUGUACUCCCCCUCUUAACCAAAAUUUGUGUCAGGAAAAGGCACAAAACUCCACCAAAGGAUUACGGUACCUUAAUCCAAGGAAGUUGUAUAGAGGCUAGUAUUUAAAAUUGUCAUUUUGAUAGGCCCCACUAGUGGAUUUUAUCCCCUGUUAGGUUGGACAAUCCUCAGUAUAUACACCUUACUACACAAAGGUAUUGACAUAUAUCACAUUGGAGAAACAAUGAUAAAUUAGACAUUGGAUCACUGAAAUGGUGCAGAUAACAUAGCUGUUUAGAUGGCUGACAUGAGUAAAACAGAAAACUCGAAUUUUGAAUUUGAUCAUUUGAAGGUGAGAAAAAGAAACGCCUUUUAGAUGUAAGGAACCUGUUGAGCCAAAGCAAAAAGAUGGAAAAAAGUAAGUAUAUAAGGAAA